AUACGGGGGGUGCAAGCGUUAAUCGGAAUUACUGGGCGUAAAGCGCGCGUAGGCGGUUUGCUCAGUCGGAUGUGAAAGCCCAGGGCUCAACCUUGGAACUGCAUACGAUACUGGCAAACUAGAGUGUGAGAGAGGAUAGUGGAAUUUCCGGUGUAGCGGUGAAAUGCGUAGAUAUCCGAAGGAACAUCAGUGGCGAAGGCGACUAUCUGGCUCAACACUGACGCUGAGGUGCGAAAGCGUGGGUAGCAAACAGGAUUAGAAACCCUAGUAGUCC
rnacentral:rRNA from 1 species